rnacentral:rRNA from 1 species
AAGUCCCGCAACGAGCGCUAACCCUGCAUUCAGUUGGCCAUCGGGUAAUGCCGGGCUACUCUGGAAGGACUGCCAUCGACAAGAUGGAGGAAGUGGGAUGACGUCAAGUCAUCAUGGCCCUUACGGCCUGGGCUACACACGUGCUACAAUGGUCGGUACAAAGGGUUGCCAAGCCGCGAGGUAGGAGCUAAUCCCAUAAAACCGAUCGUAGUCCGGAUCGCAGUCUGCAACUCGACUGCGUGAAGUCGGAAUCGCUAGUAAUCGUGAAUCAGAAUGUCACGGUGAAUACGUUCCCGGGCCUU